GCAUCACCUCAAAGGAUAAGGGCAGCAGAUGCCUGGGAACACCACCGCCUGAGACUGUAAGAAGCCAUCUUGAGUGACAGUGUGAGAGACAAUAACAGCACACAGAUCUCAGCAGAAACAGCCAGGAACCCCCAAAAAGAACUCCAAGAGACAUUAGAGGGGUUUUCUCUUUGCCACCAAGAGUCAAAGAGGAAGGUAUUAAGAAAUCAACUGCUGUUCUGCCAAAAGAGUCCAGGCAAUCUUCAAGUGUUGUAACCACAGAACUGGUGAGGAACAAGAAAUCUCUCUCUCUCUCAAAACCUACUUGAACUGCUGUGUCAACCUGCAAAAGGCAAACACUGACUGGUCGACUGCAGAAGACAUCUCAGCUGUUUAACCAAUCCUCAAGUUUCAACCCAUUCACUUAAGAAAGCAGAAACUCAAGCAAUGGGCCUGCAAGUUAAUAGCUUUAUCACUUUUACCUAAAUAACUUCCAGCAGUAGUUUUGUAAUAAACCAAUCUUUAUCUUGUUUAAGACUAAA